rnacentral:lncRNA from 1 species
GGUGGAGGCGUCAGACAAGGCUACCGUGAUCAUCCCACUGAAAAGUAGCCGCCACGGUCAUCCCACUGAAGCAUAGCUGCGAUGGUCAUCCCACUGAAGCAUAGCUGCGAUGGUCAUCCCACUGAAAUGUAUCAUCAUCCCACUGAAAUGUAUCCUCGUCCCCCUGAAUAUGUUUCUGCUGACGUGAUAGAAUCUCACUUCCAAAUUGUGUUUUCUUCUGACUGCCGCGGGUCUUGUUCAUUUUGAGGACUGUUUCAGAGGAUAUGUGCGUGCAUCUGUUCUUUUAUCUUCCUUCGGGUAAUUUAGUGUAGAUUUGGUGGCUGUUUCUUGCGUAGGUUUGGAGGACUCCUUUAUCUGUGCUCAGAAGUCAAUUUCCUUUAAAUUUCUUG